rnacentral:rRNA from 1 species
GACGUAGGGGGCGAGCGUUGUCCGGAUUCAUUGGGCGUAAAGAGCGCGUAGGCGGCCCGGAAAGUGGGGAUGUGAAAACCCGAGGCUCAACCUCGGGCGUGCACUCCAAACUCCCGGGCUCGAGGCAGGUAGGGGAGAUCGGAAUUCCUGGUGUAGCGGUGAAAUGCGCAGAUAUCAGGAGGAACACCGGUGGCGAAGGCGGGAUCUCUGGG